rnacentral:lncRNA from 1 species
CUGGGAUGCGCUUGGGCUCCCUGAGUCUCGCCCUGUCGCCCAGGCUAGAGUGCAGUGACGCGAUCUUGGCUCACUGCAACCUCCACCUCCUGGGUUCAAGCGAUUCUCCUGCCUUAGCCUUCUGAGUAGCUGGGAUUACAGGCGUGCACCACCACGCCUGGCUGAUUUUUGUAUAAAAUAAAAUUAUUUAAGUAGGUAAUACAUGUCUAUGCUAAUCCCACCAUUCUCCCUACAGUCUCUUCUCAUAGAGACAAGGGACAUAAUAUGCAUAAACAAGCUUAUGGUUGUCUUUCUUCCACUCCUACUUUU